UUUAUUCUAAGUCAUAAUAAUAAGAGUAGAGGAAUCCUUAACUUAAAAAGAUUUAGAGAAGUCAAGAUCAAGAGGUGAGUAACACUUCAACUGUAAUGUAAGGAUAAAAUUGUUUUUAUACUUAAGUUUAGUUUUAACAAUCCCUUUAUAUUAUGAUGGCUAUUAUAAUAUGAUUAGUUAUAUUCUAAAUCUUUAUAUGGUCGGCCCUGCCACCUAAUAUGUGAUGCUAUGGUCAGCUCUGCCGCCUAAUAUGUGAUGUUAUGGUCGGCUCUGCCGCCUAAUAUGUGAUGUCAUGGUCGGCUCUGCCACUUAUACUAAAGACUAUUGUUUUUAAAUAAUGUUGUGUGUUGAUUUUGUUAUGCAUUGAAGAAUUUCAAAUGUUAUAAGUUGCAUUGGAUGCAUGCAUAUCAUGGAUUACAUUAUGAAGAAGACGUUUCAGAAAAUGAAUUUAUGAAAAAUAGGUGGUUGUACUACCAGGUGGCAAAGUUCUAAGGAGGGCAAGCCCUCAAAGCUAAGUUGAAAGAAAUCUUUUGGGGACGGCAAUACGUAACGCCCAAAAGAUCAACUAAUGAGGCCCAAUGGCAUAUUGUUUAAAGGGUAAAAGUACCGGCCUUGUAGUGCAACAUACUUAGGGCCCAAAUAAAGUUGUUUUGUAUUUUUUAAGUUUAUUUGAAGAGCUUAAUAUGGUCAUCCAUAUGCAUCAUAAUUUAUACAUGCAUUAAAGUGUUAUCUUACUGGGCAUUAGCUCACUAAGUCCUUACAUUGCAGGUAACGAUGAGUAGGGCAAACUGGCGCCAAGUCCUAACUAAGACGAAAUGCAUAUGGGCAUAACCGACCUUGGGAUUUUAUGAUGGGCUCAACUUUGUAUUAAUAAAAAUAAGUAUCUUGGCUUUAUGUAAUAAUUAAGUUUUUAAAUAAACUAAGAAAUCUCUAUAUGACUCUUACUUUUCUGUAAUAAAGUUUUGUUGGAUUGUGCUAAACUUUUAGAAUUCGUAUUUAUAUUAAAAGUAACUGUGUUUUUAAGCAUUUUUUUAAGUAAAUAAUAUAGUGGAGUGUUACA
rnacentral:lncRNA from 1 species